GACAGAGGGUGCAAACGUUGUUCGGAAUUACUGGGCGUAAAGCGCGCGUAGGCGGCUUCGCAAGUCGGGUGUGAAAUCCCCAAGCUCAACUUGGGAACUGCAUUCGAGACUGCGUUGCUAGAGUAUGGGAGAGGGAAGUGGAAUUUCAGGUGUAGCGGUGAAAUGCGUAGAUAUCUGAAGGAACAUCAGUGGCGAAAGCGACUUCCUGGACCAAUACUGGCGCUCAUGUGCGAAAGCGUGGGGAGCAAACAGG
rnacentral:rRNA from 1 species